GACGAACGCUGGCGGCGUGCUUAACACAUGCAAGUCGAACGGAAAGGCCCUUCGGGGUACUCGAGUGGCGAACGGGUGAGUAACACGUGGGUGAUCCGCCCUGCACUUUGGGAUAAGCCUGGGAAACUGGGUCUAAUACCGAAUAGGACCACGCGCUUCAUGGUGUGUGGUGGAAAGCUUUUGCGGUGUGGGAUGGGCCCGCGGCCUAUCAGCUUGUUGGUGGGGUAAUGGCCUACCAAGGCGACGACGGGUAGCCGGCCUGAGAGGGUGACCGGCCACACUGGGACUGAGAUACGGCCCAGACUCCUACGGGAGGCAGCAGUGGGGAAUAUUGCACAAUGGGCGCAAGCCUGAUGCAGCGACGCCGCGUGAGGGAUGACGGCCUUCGGGUUGUAAACCUCUUUCAAUAGGGACGAAGCGCAAGUGACGGUACCUAUAGAAGAAGCACCGGCCAACUACGUGCCAGCAGCCGCGGUAAUACGUAGGGUGCGAGCGUUGUCCGGAAUUACUGGGCGUAAAGAGCUCGUAGGUGGUUUGUCGCGUUGUUCGUGAAAACUCACAGCUUAACUGUGGGCGUGCGGGCGAUACGGGCAGACUAGAGUACUGCAGGGGAGACUGGAAUUCCUGGUGUAGCGGUGGAAUGCGCAGAUAUCAGGAGGAACACCGGUGGCGAAGGCGGGUCUCUGGGCAGUAACUGACGCUGAGGAGCGAAAGCGUGGGGAGCGAACAGGAUUAGAUACCCUGGUAGUCCACGCCGUAAACGGUGGGUACUAGGUGUGGGUUCCUUCCUUGGGAUCCGUGCCGUAGCUAACGCAUUAAGUACCCCGCCUGGGGAGUACGGCCGCAAGGCUAAAACUCAAAGGAAUUGACGGGGGCCCGCACAAGCGGCGGAGCAUGUGGAUUAAUUCGAUGCAACGCGAAGAACCUUACCUGGGUUUGACAUGCACAGGACGCCGGCAGAGAUGUCGGUUCCCUUGUGGCCUGUGUGCAGGUGGUGCAUGGCUGUCGUCAGCUCGUGUCGUGAGAUGUUGGGUUAAGUCCCGCAACGAGCGCAACCCUUGUCCUAUGUUGCCAGCGGGUUAUGCCGGGGACUCGUAGGAGACUGCCGGGGUCAACUCGGAGGAAGGUGGGGAUGACGUCAAGUCAUCAUGCCCCUUAUGUCCAGGGCUUCACACAUGCUACAAUGGCCGGUACAAAGGGCUGCGAUGCCGUGAGGUGGAGCGAAUCCUUUCAAAGCCGGUCUCAGUUCGGAUCGGGGUCUGCAACUCGACCCCGUGAAGUCGGAGUCGCUAGUAAUCGCAGAUCAGCAACGCUGCGGUGAAUACGUUCCCGGGCCU
rnacentral:rRNA from 1 species